GUGACCUCAAAUCAGGUAGGACUACCCGCUGAACUUAAGCAUAUCAAUAAGCGGAGGAAAAGAAACUAACAAGGAUUCCCCUAGUAACUGCGAGUGAAGCGGGAAAAGCUCAAAUUUAAAAUCUGGCGGUCCUUUGGCUGUCCGAGUUGUAAUCUAGAGAAGUGUUAUCCGCGCUGGACG
rnacentral:rRNA from 1 species